AGAUUGAGUUUGAUCCUGGCUCAGAACGAACGCUGGCGGCGUGCCUAACACAUGCAAGUCGGACGGGUUUUGGAGGAGUAGCAAUACGAAUUCAAGACUAGUGGCGGACGGGUGAGUAACACGUAGGUAACCUACCCUUCGGCGGGGGAUAAUCCCGCGAAAGCGGGACUAAUACCGCAUACAUUCACCGGCUGGGAUGCCGGUGGGGAAAGUGGCAACACACCGAGGGAUGGGCCUGCGGCCUAUCAGGUAGUUGGUGGGGUAACGGCCCACCAAGCCAAAGACGGGUAGCCGGGCUGAGAGGUUGAACGGCCACACUGGAACUGAGACACGGUCCAGACUCCUACGGGAGGCAGCAGUGGGGAAUCUUGCGCAAUGGGGGAAACCCUGACGCAGCGACGCCGCGUGGAGGAUGAAGGUCUUCGGGUUGUAAACUCCUUUUCUUGGGGAAAAUGAUGAUGGUACCCAAGGAAUAAGCCACGGCUAACUCUGUGCCAGCAGCCGCGGUAAGACAGAGGUGGCGAGCGUUGUUCGGAAUUACUGGGCUUAAAGGGCGAGUAGGCGUCCCGGUAAGUCAGCUGUGGAAUCUUUUCGCUUAACGAAAAAAUUGCAUCUGAAACUAUCGGGAUUGAGUCAGUGAGGGGAGGGCGGAAUUCCUGGUGUAGCGGUGAAAUGCGUAGAUAUCAGGAGGAAGGCCUGUGGCGAAGGCGGCCCUCUGGCACUGUACUGACGCUGAGGCGCGAAAGCGUGGGGAGCAAACAGGAUUAGAUACCCUGGUAGUCCACGCCCUAAACGGUGGGCAUUAGGUGUAGGGCUCGUAAGGGUUCUGUG
rnacentral:rRNA from 1 species